rnacentral:rRNA from 1 species
CUUAAUUGACUUGGUAACGCAGCUAACGCGUGAAGUAGACCGCCUGGGGAGUACGGUCGCAAGAUUAAAACUCAAAGGAAUUGACGGGGACCCGCACAAGCGGGGGAUGAUGUGGAUUAAUUCGAUGCAACGGAAAAACCUUACCUACCCUUGACAUGGAUUGAAUCCCGAAGAGAUUUGGGAGUGCUCGAAAGAGAACCAUCACACAGGUGCUGCAUGGCUGUCGUCAGCUCGUGUCGUGAGAUGUUGGGUUAAGUCCCGCAACGAGCGCAACCCUUGUCAUUAGUUGCUACGAAAGGGCACUCUAAUGAGACUGCCGGUGACAAACCGGAGGAAGGUGGGGAUGACGUCAAGUCCUCAUGGCCCUUAUGGGUAGGGCUUCACACGUCAUACAAUGGUACAUACAGAGGGCCGCCAACCCGCGAGGGAAGCUAAUCCCAGAAAGUGUAUCGUAGUCCGGAUUGGAGUCUGCAACUCGACUCCAUGAAGUUGGAAUCGCUAGUAAUCGCGGAUCAGCAUGUCGCGGUGAAUACGUUCCCGGGUCUUGUACACACCGCCCGUCACACCAUGGAGCGGGUUUUACCAGAAGUGGGUAGCCUAACCG